UACGUAGGGUGCAAGCGUUGUCCGGAAUUAUUGGGCGUAAAGAGCUCGUAGGUGGCCUGUCGCGUCGGCUGUGAAAACUCGGGGCUCAACUCCGAGCUUGCAGUCGAUACGGGCAGGCUAGAGUUCGGCAGGGGAGACUGGAAUUCCUGGUGUAGCGGUGAAAUGCGCAGAUAUCAGGAGGAACACCGGUGGCGAAGGCGGGUCUCUGGGCCGAUACUGGCACUGAGGAGCGAAAGCGUGGGGAGCGAACAGG
rnacentral:rRNA from 1 species